rnacentral:rRNA from 1 species
UACGUAGGUCGCAAGCGUUGUCCGGAUUUACUGGGCGUAAAGAGCGCGCAGGCGGCUGGUCAAGUCCGAUGUGAAAUCUCCCGGCUCAACUGGGAAACUGCAUCGGAAACUGAUCGGCUUGAAGGUGGGAGAGGGUAGUGGAAUUCCCGGUGUAGUGGUGAAAUGCGUAGAUAUCGGGAGGAACACCCGUGGCGAAGGCGGGUCUCUGGGACGGUACUGACGCUGAGACGCGAAAGCGUGGGGAGCGAACAGG